rnacentral:lncRNA from 1 species
GACGAGAUUCACUCACUCUCUAAUCCUUAUUUUUUUAGGGACAUACUUAAAUCUAUCGAGUGGGGUUGUCAGCCCACAUUGAAAGACAACAGGCAGACAAGUUAGAGGUUAGAUAUAUAAAGGCUCGCUUAAUAAGAUAUCCUAAAGAGUUGUUAGGGUACUAAUUAUAUUUUUCAGUAGAUCACAAUGUGAUUGUAACCCAUCAUACCAUGUUCUUAGAAAAUAGUUUAUCUAAGAUAGUGUAAUGGGAGAAAAUUAAGCUCGAAAAGAAAGUCUCUGAAAAGCAACGAGUUGAAGAUCUGACUGCACCC